rnacentral:rRNA from 1 species
UUUCCUACGGGUGGCUGCAGUGGGGAAUAUUGCACAAUGGGCGAAAGCCUGAUGCAGCAACGCCGCGUGAGUGAUGAAGGCCUUCGGGUUGUAAAGCUCUGUCUUCUGGGACGAUAAUGACGGUACCAGAGGAGGAAGCCACGGCUAACUACGUGCCAGCAGCCGCGGUAAUACGUAGGUGGCAAGCGUUGUCCGGAUUUACUGGGCGUAAAGGAUGCGUAGGCGGAUACUUAAGUCAGAUGUGAAAAUCCCGGGCUUAACUUGGGAACUGCAUUUGAAACUGGGUAUCUAGAGUGCGGGAGAGGAAAGUGGAAUUCCUAGUGUAGCGGUGAAAUGCGUAGAGAUUAGGAAGAACACCAGUGGCGAAGGCGACUUUCUGGACCGUAACUGACGCUGAGGCAUGAAAGCGUGGGGAGCAAACAGGAUUAGAUACCCUGGUAGUC